rnacentral:rRNA from 1 species
UACGGAGGGUGCAAGCGUUAUCCGGAUUCACUGGGGUUAAAGGGUGCGUAGGUGGGCAGGUAAGUCAGUGGUGAAAUCUCCGGGCUUAACCCGGAAACUGCCGUUGAUACUAUCUGUCUUGAAUAUUGUGGAGGUAAGCGGAAUAUGUCAUGUAGCGGUGAAAUGCUUAGAUAUGACAUAGAACACCAAUUGCGAAGGCAGCUUACUACACAGUUAUUGACACUGAGGCACGAAAGCGUGGGGAUCAAACAGG